rnacentral:rRNA from 1 species
GAUGAACGCUAGCGGCAGGCUUAACACAUGCAAGUCGAGGGGUAUAGUUCUUCGGAACUAGAGACCGGCGCACGGGUGCGUAACGCGUAUGCAAUCUACCUUUUGCAGAGGGAUAGCCCAGAGAAAUUUGGAUUAAUACCUCAUGGUAUGUGAGAAUGGCAUCAUUUUCACAUUAAAGUCACAACGGCAAAAGAUGAGCAUGCGUCCCAUUAGCUUGUUGGUAAGGUAACGGCUUACCAAGGCAACGAUGGGUAGGGGUCCUGAGAGGGAGAUCCCCCACACUGGUACUGAGACACGGACCAGACUCCUACGGGAGGCAGCAGUGAGGAAUAUUGGACAAUGGGCGCAAGCCUGAUCCAGCCAUGCCGCGUGCAGGAUGACGGUCCUAUGGUUUGUAAACUGCUUUUGUACAGGAAGAAACACUGGUUCGUGAACCAGCUUGACGGUACUGUAAGAAUAAGGAUCGGCUAACUCCGUGCCAGCAGCCGCCGUAAGAC